AUGUGGAACUGUAAGUCUAUUAAACCUCUUUCUUGGUUUGCGCCCGUCCUGUCGGCCAUGUCCCGCGGGGUGGCGGGUGCACUGAGGCCCCUGGUGCAGGCCGAGGUGCCCGCCACCCCGGCGCCACCUGUGCUGGACCCAAAGUGGCCCAUCUUGAACCAGGAGUGGCUGAGCGGCCAGACCGCGCGCCAGCCUUUGGUCGUCUCUGUGAGCCUCAAUGUCCCUGCUUCUGUUCAUUAUUCCCAUACAGACAUCAAGGUGCCUGACUUCUCUGACUACCGCCACUCUGAAGUUUUAGAUAAAAUAAAGUCUUCAAGAGAAAGCAGCGAUGCUAGAAAGGUUUCUCCUAUUUGGUAAUGGCAGCAACUGCUGUGGGUGUCACGUAUGCUGCCAAGAGUAUCGUCACCUAGUUCGUUUCCUCCAUGAGUGCUUCUGCUGAUGUGUUGGCCAUGUCAAAAAUCAAAAUCAAGUUGUCUGAUAUUCAAGAAGGCAAGAACAUGGCUUUCAAAUGGAGGGGGAAACCCCUGUUUGUGUGUCAUAGAACCCAGAAGGAAACUGAGCAGGAAGCUGCAUUAGAAUUGUCCCAGUUGAGGGACCCACAGCAUGUUCUAGAUCGAGUAAAGAAACCCGAAUGGAUGAUCCUCAUUGGUGUUUGCAUGCAUCUUGGUUGUGUACCCAUUGCAAAUUCAGGAGAUUUUGGUGGUUAUUACUGCCCUUGCCAUGGGUCACACUAUGAUGUGUCUGGCAGGAUCAGGAAGGGGCCUGCACCUCUCAACCUAGAAGUCCCUACCUAUGAGUUCACCAGUGACGAUAUGGUCAUUGUUGGCUAGAGACUUGGACUCAAGUCAUAGACUUCUUUCAGUCUUUAUGUCACUUCAGAAGACUUAUUUGAGAGCAAGCCUUUUGCACUUGAAGUUGAUUUGAAAUAUGUAAGAAUUGAUGAUGUAUUUGCAAACAAUAUGAAGCAAAUUGAAUUUAAUGUCGAAUA